rnacentral:tRNA from 1 species
GCCCUAGUAGCUUAGACUAAAAGCAUCG